UACGAAGGUGGCUAGCGUUGUUCGGAAUUACUGGGCGUAAAGCGCACGUAGGCGGAUUUGUUAGUCAGGGGUGAAAUCCCGGGGCUCAACCUCGGAACUGCCUUUGAUACUGCAAAUCUCGAGUCCGGAAGAGGUGAGUGGAAUUCCUAGUGUAGAGGUGAAAUUCGUAGAUAUUAGGAAGAACACUAGUGGCGAAGGCGGCUCACUGGUCCGGCACUGACGCUGAGGUGCGAAAGCGUGGGGAGCAAACAGG
rnacentral:rRNA from 1 species